rnacentral:rRNA from 1 species
UACGUAGGGGGCAAGCGUUGUCCGGAUUUAUUGGGCGUAAAGAGCGUGUAGGCGGCCAAGCAGGUCAGCUGUGAAAACUCGAGGCUCAACCUCGAGACGUCGGUUGAAACCGCUUGGCUAGAGUCCGGAAGAGGAGGGUGGAAUUCCCGGUGUAGCGGUGAAAUGCGCAGAUAUCGGGAAGAACACCCGUGGCGAAGGCGGCUCUCUGGGACGGUACUGACGCUGAGACGCGAAAGCGUGGGGAGCGAACAGG